rnacentral:rRNA from 1 species
UACGUAGGUGGCAAGCGUUGUCCGGAUUUACUGGGCGUAAAGAGCGCGCAGGCGGUCGUUCAAGUCGCGUGUGAAAGCCCCCCGGCUCAACUGGGGAGGGUCACGCGAUACUGAUCGACUCGAAGGCAGGAGAGGGAAGUGGAAUUCCCGGUGUAGUGGUGAAAUGCGUAGAUAUCGGGAGGAACACCAGUGGCGAAGGCGACUUCCUGGCCUGUUCUUGGCGCUGAGGCGCGAAAGCUAGGGGAGCAAACGGG